rnacentral:rRNA from 1 species
GGGGAAUAUUGCGCAAUGGGGGGAACCCUGACGCAGCCAUGCCGCGUGAAUGAAGAAGGCCUUCGGGUUGUAAAGUUCUUUCGGUAUUGAGGAAGGUUGAUGUGUUAAUAGCACAUCAAAUUGACGUUAAAUACAGAAGAAGCACCGGCUAACUCCGUGCCAGCAGCCGCGGUAAUACGGAGGGUGCGAGCGUUAAUCGGAAUAACUGGGCGUAAAGGGCACGCAGGCGGUUAUUUAAGUGAGGUGUGAAAGCCCUGGGCUUAAUCUAGGAAUUGCAUUUCAGACUGGGUAACUAGAGUACUUUAGGGAGGGGUAGAAUUCCACGUGUAGCGGUGAAAUGCGUAGAGAUGUGGAGGAAUACCGAAGGCGAAGGCAGCCCCUUGGGAAUGUACUGACGCUCAUGUGCGAAAGCGUGGGGAGCAAACAGGAUUAGAUACCCUGGUAGUCCACGCUGUAAACGCUGUCGAUUUGGGGGUUGGGGUUUAACUCUGGCGCCCGUAGCUAACGUGAUAAAUCGACCGCCUGGGGAGUACGGCCGCAAGGUUA